rnacentral:rRNA from 1 species
GGAUGAACGCUAGCUACAGGCUUAACACAUGCAAGUCGAGGGGCAGCAUGGUCUUAGCUUGCUAAGGCCGAUGGCGACCGGCGCACGGGUGAGUAACACGUAUCCAACCUGCCGUCUACUCUUGGACAGCCUUCUGAAAGGAAGAUUAAUACAAGAUGGCAUCAUGAGUCCGCAUGUUCACAUGAUUAAAGGUAUUCCGGUAGACGAUGGGGAUGCGUUCCAUUAGAUAGUAGGCGGGGUAACGGCCCACCUAGUCUUCGAUGGAUAGGGGUUCUGAGAGGAAGGUCCCCCACAUUGGAACUGAGACACGGCCCAAACUCCUACGGGAGGCAGCAGUGAGGAAUAUUGGUCAAUGGGCGCAGGCCUGAACCAGCCAAGUAGCGUGAAGGAUGACUGCCCUAUGGGUUGUAAACUUCUUUUAUAAAGGAAUAAAGUCGGGUAUGGAUACCCGUUUGCAUGUACUUUAUGAAUAAGGAUCGGCUAACUCCGUGCCAGCAGCCGCGGUAAUACGGAGGAUCCGAGCGUUAUCCGGAUUUAUUGGGUUUAAAGGGAGCGUAGAUGGAUGUUUAAGUCAGUUGUGAAAGUUUGCGGCUCAACCGUAAAAUUGCAGUUGAUACUGGAUAUCUUGAGUGCAGUUGAGGCAGGCGGAAUUCGUGGUGUAGCGGUGAAAUGCUUAGAUAUCACGAAGAACUCCGAUUGCGAAGGCAGCCUGCUAAGCUGCAACUGACAUUGAGGCUCGAAAGUGUGGGUAUCAAACAGGAUUAGAUACCCUGGUAGUCCACACGGUAAACGAUGAAUACUCGCUGUUUGCGAUAUACUGCAAGCGGCCAAGCGAAAGCGUUAAGUAUUCCACCUGGGGAGUACGCCGGCAACGGUGAAACUCAAAGGAAUUGACGGGGGCCCGCACAAGCGGAGGAACAUGUGGUUUAAUUCGAUGAUACGCGAGGAACCUUACCCGGGCUUAAAUUGCAGAUGAAUUACGGUGAAAGCCGUAAGCCGCAAGGCAUCUGUGAAGGUGCUGCAUGGUUGUCGUCAGCUCGUGCCGUGAGGUGUCGGCUUAAGUGCCAUAACGAGCGCAACCCUUGUUGUCAGUUACUAACAGGUUCCGCUGAGGACUCUGACAAGACUGCCAUCGUAAGAUGUGAGGAAGGUGGGGAUGACGUCAAAUCAGCACGGCCCUUACGUCCGGGGCUACACACGUGUUACAAUGGGGGGUACAGAGGGCCGCUACCACGCGAGUGGAUGCCAAUCCCCAAAACCUCUCUCAGUUCGGACUGGAGUCUGCAACCCGACUCCACGAAGCUGGAUUCGCUAGUAAUCGCGCAUCAGCCACGGCGCGGUGAAUACGUUCCCGGGCCUUGUACACACCGCCCGUCAAGCCAUGGGAGCCGGGGGUACCUGAAGUGCGUAACCGCGAGGAGCGCCCUAGGGUA